rnacentral:rRNA from 1 species
UGGGGAAUCUUAGACAAUGGGGGCAACCCUGAUCUAGCCAUGCCGCGUGAGUGAUGAAGGCCUUAGGGUUGUAAAGCUCUUUCAGCUGGGAAGAUAAUGACGGUACCAGCAGAAGAAGCCCCGGCUAACUCCGUGCCAGCAGCCGCGGUAAUACGGAGGGGGCUAGCGUUGUUCGGAAUUACUGGGCGUAAAGCGCACGUAGGCGGACCAGAAAGUUGGGGGUGAAAUCCCGGGGGCUCAACCUCGGAACUGCCCUCAAAACUAUUGGUCUGGAGUUCGAGAGAGGUGAGUGGAAUUCCGAGUGUAGAGGUGAAAUUUCGUAGAUAUUCGGAGGAACACCAGUGGCGAGGCGGCUCACUGGCUCGAUACCGACGCUGAGGUGCGAAAGCGUGGGGAGCAAAACAGGAUUAGAUACCCUAGUAGUCACGCCGUAAACGAUGAAUGCCAGACGUCGGGCAGCAUGCUGUUCGGUGUCACACCUAACGGAUUAAGCAUUCCGCCUGGGGAGUACGGUCGCAAGAUUAAAACUCAAAUGAAUUG